rnacentral:rRNA from 1 species
AGUGAACGCUGGCGGCAGGCCUAACACAUGCAAGUCGAGCGGCAGCGCGGGGGCAACCCUGGCGGCGAGCGGCGGACGGGUGAGGAAUUCGUCGGAAUCUGCCUUUUUGUGGGGGAUAACGUAGGGAAACUUACGCUAAUACCGCAUACGUCCUACGGGAGAAAGUGGGGGACCGCAAGGCCUCACGCAGAAAGAUGAGCCGACGACCGAUUAGCUAGUUGGUGGGGUAAAGGCCCACCAAGGCGACGAUCGGUAGCUGGUCUGAGAGGAUGAUCAGCCACACUGGGACUGAGACACGGCCCAGACUCCUACGGGAGGCAGCAGUGGGGAAUAUUGGACAAUGGGCGCAAGCCUGAUCCAGCCAUGCCGCGUGUGAAGAAGGCCUUCGGGUUGUAAAGCACUUUUGUCCGGAAAGAAAUCCCUGGAGCUAAUACCUUCGGGGGAUGACGGUACCGGAAGAAUAAGCACCGGCUAACUUCGUG